CAGGAGUGUUAAAACCGUUCAAAGAAGUUAUAAGACGUCACAUGGGCUUUUGAGAUGGACGUCAAAAUUUAAAUUAAGACUCGAACUCCAUCGUCGCAGUCAACUCCGCUCCACGUCACAAGUCUGCCGACAUACGCAGCGAGCCACUGGAAAAACUGGUAACAACGAUAAAGCAGUCCAUAUGAAGAUGAGUUUGAGUUUCUUUCUUCUGUUGAAGAUAUUUUGAAGGCUGCUUGAAAACGUGCAGAGAUAUGGAGACCUCUAGAAGUCCUUUAUGGUUGGCAUCAUCUCUUAGUAUGUGUUGAUCCUUGAGGUCCUCGAUGGUUGGCAUCAUCUCAUCUCAAUACC